rnacentral:rRNA from 1 species
UACAGAGGGGGCAAGCGUUAUUCGGAAUUACUGGGCGUAAAGGGCGCGUAGGCGGCCUGCUAAGUCGAACGUGAAAUCCCCGAGCUCAACUCGGGAACUGCGUCCGAUACUGGCAGGCUUGAAUCCGGGAGAGGGAUGCGGAAUUCCAGGUGUAGCGGUGAAAUGCGUAGAUAUCUGGAGGAACACCGGUGGCGAAGGCGGCAUCCUGGACCGGCAUUGACGCUGAGGCGCGAAAGCCAGGGGAGCAAACGGG